UACGGAGGGUGCAAGCGUUGUCCGGAAUCAUUGGGUGUAAAGGGUGUGUAGGCGGGCCUGUAAGUCAGAGGUGAAAGCCCACGGCUUAACCGUGGAACUGCCUUUGAUACUGCAGAUCUUGAGUCCUGGAGAGGUGGCUGGAAUUCGUGGUGUAGCGGUGAAAUGCGUAGGUAUCACGAGGAACACCAGAGGUGUAGACGGGUCACUGGACAGGUACUGACGCUGAGGCACGAAAGCGUGGGGAGCAAACAGG
rnacentral:misc_RNA from 1 species